rnacentral:lncRNA from 1 species
GUUUGGAUCCACAAGUGAGGAGCCUUGAGGAACGAUUACAGUUGGAGAUACAGAUUUAGGAGUUUUAGGCAUACAGGUGGACCUAAAGCCAUGGGACUGCAUAAGGUCACCUAGGGAGAAUGUGUGGCUAGAGAAUGGUACAGGGCACAUCCCUAGAGAGUCCAAUGGAUUAUCAGAGAAGGAGAAACUAGCAGAGAAUAAAGAGAAGGAAAGACAUUGUUCUAAUCAUCAGUUAUCAUAUUGGACUGCAAUAUUCUCAGAAGCUAUUGUAAUAUAAAAGGGAAUUUUCAUCCUUUGCGUCUCUGCCAACUGACUUGAGCCUGCUGCGCUUUUCCUGACUACUCCUCCUCAUCCAAGCUGUUGGAUUUUAAAAAUGGAGUGCUCAAGUGCUUACAGAGAUUCAAACGUGCCGUCCAUUUGGACUUAUUCUCAUGGCAGCGUAAUAUGUUAUUGAUUAGUGGAGAGUCCAGAACGUGUGAUGCUCUUUGUAACUGCAGGCUGGUGGAUGACUUCUACGCAAAAUGACGACCAGAAUCAAAAGGUUUCUGAGAAGUAUUAAGACUGAAAACAAAAACCGUCCUACUGAACUGAAGAAAACAAAGCCGGUGAAUCCCAACUUGCGGGAAUCAAAGAGACCUUCCAGCUCCAGGCAGACCUCAUCCCAACUCCAGAGAAGACCACACUUCAGCUCUUGUCCAUAGUUGUGUUAGCAGUGGUUCCGAAUCAGCAGUUCUGACUAGAAGUUUUGAUUUAUAUGCUAACCGUGCAAAAAUAAUGAUUAAAACCUGAAGUUUGUCUCAUGGAUUCAACUACCACCUCUGCUCUCAGGACCACAAACCCUGUAUUUUUAGGGUUCAUCUCUGUCUCAGCUCCAAAAUCAAAUAUCCAACUAUGUGACGAACAUUGACUGCCAGAGACCUCACUGUUGCUGCGGAUGCAACAAUUGCCCCAAAGAUUAAUGAGACAAAAUUGCCCUUCCCUGAGAGCUUACACUCUGGUAGGAGAGAGAUGAGCAGACUCCAGGAACGAGAGAGAUGCGCAGCAAGAUCAGGAGGAGUGGCUGUUCAUGUCGUCCGCACUGUAGUGAUUGGUGCACUCACUCAUUUCCCAAAGAGGCAACAAAUUCCUAAAGGGUAGAGACCAUGUCUCGUAUACUGUUCUUAUAUUUCCGCUAUUGGCAGAAGUUAGGAGCUCAAUAAAGAUUAGUUACGCGAAUGAGCCCAAGUAGGGAAGCUGAGCUGAGGAGCCAUAUCACUCCAUAUAUAAACACUCUAUAAAUCUCCUGGACCGUAUGUACCAUUCCUGUGCUCCGCCCUGUGUCUCCCUGCUUUUGGGCUUUGGAAUGUCC